rnacentral:siRNA from 1 species
UUUUUUCAAGCUAGUGAUUG